rnacentral:lncRNA from 1 species
GAUUAAAGGCUGAUAUGAUAAUAUCAUUGGAUAUAAAUACCAAACAUAUAUAUAUGUUUUUCUAAGUUUCUGAGAUACAUACAUUAUCACCUGUACCUGGUACCUUAUAGGUAAUAUAACAUUCUCUCUCAGUCAGCAUUUGAGAAAAUAGAAGUGUAAUUAUACUGUGUAAAAUAUUAAAAACAAGCAUUUAAAUUUUUGUUUUAUUUCUGAACAAUUAUGUCAUUUACAGGCGGCGCAAUUGACGCCAUAGUGGACCAAAUAAAAGGGGGCAAGUUCCAUUUAAAGUCCACAGAGCAAAACUUUAUGGAACGCAAACCGCGGGAGGACCAGCCUGAAGCGGUAAAGGAAAUGCUGCAAAUCCUUGGUACACUACGCAAACGCAGGAGCUUCGCGAGAGAACCGAACACGUGACCAAUGUGAUCCAUAUGGAAAAAGAUGAUAGAAGAUAUAAAAUUUACUGGAUUUUGAUAAAUAAUUAUUUACUGGUUUACCAAUAUUGAUAGCGGGUACCACAAUUAUUUGAACAAAUUAAAUAUAUUUACAACUGAUUGGUAGAAAGAUAUAGAUAGCAUUACAUUGCUUACAGAGAUAAGAAUUGAGAUGCUCAGUGCACUUUGUUGUAUGUUUGAGAGCUGAAACUUUCAUCUCAACAUAUACAAUAAAUAACUGUUGCAGGCUAUCAUAGGCGUAUUUAAGGAUAUAUCUGUCUGGUGGGCCGUGCCCACCUCAAAAUUGUCCUGUAUUUACUCCAAGAUCAAGAAUGAAGCAUUCAGCUAUGGAUAAAAACGUGUUUGAGCACUUUUUUAAAGGGUUUGGCCCACUCUGGAUAAUAUUACGUCAAUGUAACCUAUGCUGGUAACACAAGAAAUUCUCGUUCAUUCACUCGUUCACUCGUUAUUUACUAAUAAAACUGCAUACUAAAAUGGAUAAAUAAAAAAUAAUCCUUUUCUUCAGCGCAAAUCAACUUAUAUAUAGAAUAGUCAUUUUGCGAUAACUAUUUUAUAAAUGACUCUAAAAAACCGUCAGUCAGCGGUUUGCUUUACCUUUAUAAAAACGAAGUGUGAAACAGAUCUAAUCUUAGAGAUGGAGGUAGUCACAGGGAAAUACCGUUGUAAUACUGAAUUACGGCAUUUUAUAUAAAAUAUAUUUUGCCCUAAAUAGGCGCCAUCUCCUUUAUUGACUUGGUAUCUAUCUAUAUAACUACGAAUUGUCAUACUAAUUAUAUACAUAACAGAAUAAUGGUCAUUUACCUAUAUUUUUCCUAACUAUAUUUUGUACUGAAUAUUAGUUUUGAUAUAAAAAUAUCUUAUUACGAAAUAUAGUCUGUGUUUUAAUUUUUAUCAAACCAGAUUUCUGAUGGUAACAUUUCUAUUUCUAAUAUUUAUAAUAUAUGACAAUGUUUCAAUAGACUGAAAAUUAAAAAAAUAUUUUGUAUCAAAUUAGCAUUAAUCCUUAAUUUACACUACCGGACUACUCACAUCGUCCAUUAUUUAUGAUAGUAUAAACAAUGCGUGUCUGCGGUAUUCAGUCCACUGUGCCUAAUCUCUUCUAGUGUUCCACUUCGUUACUCUUAGAGUCACCGUCUAACUGUAUAAAUUGUAAAACUGUGACUAUACAAAGCAAGCAUUUAUGCAGUCUUAAAUGAAGCAGUACAUUCAUGGACAAAUAGUGCCAAUUUGACUGUUAAUAAGUGAUAUACUUAGGUAGUAAUUAAUUAUAAUGAACGAUGACUCAUAAUGCUAAUAUAUAAAUAAAAAAAUAUAUUAAAUUUAUGUGGUAGCAAAUAUAAUUAAGCUUCCAUCGAUAAUAGAAGAAUAUUUCGUUGAUAAAUCUGUUCUAAUUAAUUUUAAAUCGAAACUUUAAAUUUAUAAUCAAAACAUAUCAUACCUAAAUAUGACCACUUAUAGUGUAUUAUCUCCGUACAAUAUACUAUUUCCAUAUCUACUUUUACUAUCGAUUUUCCUAAAUGAUAUAUAUCUAAUAUAAAUUCAAUUUAGUACAAUGUAAACCUGUCCUAGGCACUACUGGAAUUGAUGCUGCCAUAUCAAAAAAAUAUUGCCAUUAGAUAGUUAAUUAUAUUUAUACAAUAUUUCGAAUAAUUAGCAUUUAUAUUUAUAUGAAAUGUUGAAUAAUAGAUAUUUGUUAAAUUUAUACAUGUACGAUUGUAGGGUAUAAAGUUAUUAUUAUAAUUAUGUAAUUUACACCUUUUAUUAAAUUUCUCGUAUAUAGCAAAACAUUUUGGAAAUCUAUAUUAGAUAGGUAAUAGGUUACUAAGGCCUAAAUAUAAACUAAGUAUAUUUAAUUGCGAAUAAACAUUCUUAUAAUUUGUCCUAUAUUAUUUUUGUUAGAAAUAAAUUCCAACUAUUUUUCAUAGAUGAAUAUCACAAUUAUAGAAUUUUUUUUUUUUAUUAUACGUGACUUAAUUAUGAUUAAGAUAUUAUUAUCGACCGAAUACUCCGUCUUAUAAGACUUUAGUAAUUAUAAGAUUCUUAUUAUAACAUAUUUGUAUAAAAAUAAAUUUUAAGUUUUGUAUAAAUAUAAUUAUUUAGAAUUUAUUACAUAGGUUUCCAUGUUACGAUGUUAUUAAUGAAAGAGUUACCUUUGGUGCCAUUGAUUUGUGUAUUCUAUGCAUCAAAACUCAGCAAAAACGGUCGAGGAUUUUUGUAAAGUAUUAUGUAGGCUCUAAGUAACAUUUACGUUUAUUUUUAAAUAAAUGAUUUAUAUCAAAGUAUA